GGCACGGUGGUGUAGUGGUUCGCAUGUUUGCCUCGCACCUCCAGGGUUGGGGAUUCGAUUCCUGCUUCUGCCC